rnacentral:rRNA from 1 species
UACGGGGGAGGUAAGCGUUGUUCGGAAUUACUGGGCGUAAAGGGCUCGUAGGCGGCCAACUAAGUCAUACGUGAAAUCCCUCAGCUUAACUGGGGAACUGCGUGUGAUACUGGAUGGCUUGGAUUUGGGAGAGGGAUGCGGAAUUCCAGGUGUAGCGGUGAAAUGCGUAGAUAUCUGGAGGAACACCGGUGGCGAAGGCGGCAUCCUGGACCAAUAUUGACGCUGAGGAGCGAAAGCCAGGGGAGCAAACGGG